GCUUCUUCUCCCAGCGGCCACUACUACAGCAGGGCUUUCUAGUGGCCACACCCUUCUUUUCUAAAAAUGGUUGCAAAUGAACGGGCGCCAAUAGAAAUAAAAAGAUGAAUUCCGCGACCCAAACAGUCUAUGUAAACAUAUUUAUAUAUUCGGUUUUUUUAUAAAAUCUACCUGUGUAGAUAUUUAUAGUUUCUACUAGCAGUUUAGUUAUGCAGCUGUCUGAAUAAACAUAUUUUACACAAACGGUUAUUUUAUAGAAUCCAUCUUUAGAUAUUCAUAGUUUCUACGAGCACAUCAGUAUUUUUUUUGUUUGUGCAACAACGUGCUCUUUAAUUGGGUGUGCAUGCGUUCGUGCAUGUGAUGUGCACAUCGAACAGGCCAGAACCCGUGGCGGCCGGCCGGCACCGCUAGGGUAGAAGGACACGUGUCCACUCGUGGCGUGCGCCCGCCACCUGCCGAC
rnacentral:lncRNA from 1 species